rnacentral:rRNA from 1 species
AGAGUUUGAUCCUGGCUCAGAACGAACGCUGGCGGCAUGCCUAACACAUGCAAGUCGAACGAAGCCUUCGGGCUUAGUGGCGCACGGGUGCGUAACGCGUGGGAAUCUGCCCCUCGGUUCGGAAUAACAGUUAGAAAUGACUGCUAAUACCGGAUGAUGACGAAAGUCCAAAGAUUUAUCGCCGAGGGAUGAGCCCGCGUAGGAUUAGCUAGUUGGUGAGGUAAAGGCUCACCAAGGCGACGAUCCUUAGCUGGUCUGAGAGGAUGAUCAGCCACACUGGGACUGAGACACGGCCCAGACUCCUACGGGAGGCAGCAGUGGGGAAUAUUGGACAAUGGGCGAAAGCCUGAUCCAGCAAUGCCGCGUGAGUGAUGAAGGCCUUAGGGUCGUAAAGCUCUUUUACCCGGGAUGAUAAUGACAGUACCGGGAGAAUAAGCUCCGGCUAACUCCGUGCCAGCAGCCGCGGUAAUACGGAGGGAGCUAGCGUUGUUCGGAAUUACUGGGCGUAAAGCGUACGUAGGCGGUUAUUCAAGUCAGAGGUGAAAGCCCGGGGCUCAACCCCGGAACUGCCUUUGAAACUAGAUAGCUAGAAUCUUGGAGAGGUCAGUGGAAUUCCGAGUGUAGAGGUGAAAUUCGU